CGUGCAGCGCAUGCCAUGUGUUGUGCAUGCGUGUGCACUUGUGCGCCGAGCAAUGGAAUUCCACAGAGCUCGAUGGAAUUCGGGGUUCAACGAUUUGCAAACUGCAAAGCUUAACUUUUUCGCAAAACGGACUGUGAAUAAUUUCUCGCCUGUCACUCUAAUCCUAACGAUAAAAACUUAAGGCCAUUAAGGACUCAGUUUUUCUGGAAUUGAGUCAAUUGACUAUAAGUUUUCUGUUCCGAUUUGUAUCCGAAACCGUUCUCCCAACUUUAUGAUCCUUUCCUUCGAUGCGAGUAUGCAUUAGACGGACUCUUUACUGGCGCCUCAGUAGUGCAUCUUGGUUUUCUUAGUACGGCAGCAGAUGAGAAAAUCCACAGCGGAACCACAUUAAGAACUGCUUGCCUGGCGAAGUCAAAAGUGGGAAAUCAUUCACCAUGCGGAACCCGGUACAAGAUGCAGUGGCGAAGUUUGUGAUGUUUUGCGCAGCCGGAGCUGUAGCAAAACAUGUAUAUGGAUGGGAUGAUCGCACUCUGACAAAUCAUCCACUCUUCAGCCGUGGAAGGGAAUAUAUUCCCGUAAAUAUGGAGAUCGAUCCGGAAACAGGCGAGCUGAAAGACAAACCUGCUGCAGACUGGAUCGCUCUGAAGUCUUUCUUCACUACCUUGUUCUCCAAACCCCAAGGCUGGCUGGGGAAGUACAUCACCGGUGAGAAGAGCAUCUUUGAGCCGCGUGAAGAUCCCAAGCCGCGCUCUAUGGAUCCGACGGGAGGCGGAGUGCAUUUUAGACCCUUCGGACCUUAGACGGUCCACGCAUGAAGCAGAUCUGGAGGGGAAUUUAAAGAACCGUUCUGUGAAAGCUGCACCCCUGACGGUUUGUGUAUGCUGUGUGAGUGUGUCCCUGGCCAUGUUUUCUGGGAGUGUUUACAAGGAACGGAAAAGAUACCUAGUUAUACAUAGUCAUGACUCAUGGUUCUACUUUUACAUAAAGUGCUGUAAUAAUAUCGUUGUUAUGCCUGUUGGAUUUUUAGAGAGUACUGUAUCUGUGAGUCCGUGACUGUUAAUCGGUAACAGAUAUUAUAUCUAUAAUAUCCCUGAUGUGUGCUUGUUUGCUGUGUAAUUAAGUACUUAUGUACAAUUUAAUUACGUACUUAUGUGUACAGUAAUAAAAGGCAGCGCUUGUAUGAAAA